GGGGAACACCCAGGGCAGCUCCCGUAGGCUGCACAAGGGAAGAGGGGAGGGCUUCUACUGAGGUGAAACAGUGACCCACCCCUCCCACACCGUCAGCCUCCCUCCCCUCUCCACCCUUCAGUGCUGGGACCCCAGGGCCCAUAGACAGCUGGGGGAGUGGGGAGACAGGAGGAACUCAAGCUCAGCUUCUGCCUCCUGUCUCCUGGGACCCUCGGGCAGCCCCUCCAGCUUCCUGGGAGUCCAAUUUCCCAAGGUAGAACGGUGGCGGCAGAGCCUGGCCCUGUGGUGGGGCAGCUGCACCCCGAUGAGUGGCUUGCAGUUCCUGGAGCCCUGCAGGUUGUUGGAGAGGCAGGGAGCCCUUCUCCCUCCUGCCUGCCCUCUUGCACUUCCUCUCCCAGAACCCAGCACUACUCCCAGAGGCUCUGAGCUGGAGCCCUAGAAGGUAACCACCUCCUGGCUGGACACAGGGCAAGUUGGGGCCAGGCGUGAGGACAGGUGCCCCAGGAGCCACCUGCUCCACUCAUCCACAAAGGCCUUAACUGGCUCAGGGGCCCCUAGCUCCCAGUCAAGCCCUGCCCUCCUGACCUUGUCCUGCCCUGGUGCUGCCAGUCGGGUGGAGAUGUCUAGGGGCCAGCUGGUCUCCUGGCAACUGAAGUCCGCGCUUCCCUUCCGUUCACUCAUUCCUUCCUUUCCUCAUGCAGGAGGCGCUGCAAGGCUCCGUGCUCCUGGAGCUUCGAGUCUAUGGUAUGAGUUAAACAGAAGGGUAUCUCCUCCAUCAGAUCUACAGGAGGGUGUCUGCUCCAUCAGACCUGGAGCUUCCAAGGCAUUUUACCCGAAGCUCCAGCACCUGGCCCAAGGCUGGGCUGUGCUGUGUCCUCAGUGAAAGAAUGGAUGAGUCACAGCUGAAUGACUGAAGAGCUGAACCAAUGGGAAAACUGAUGCUCAGAGGCUUGAGCAACCUAGGCCAGGACCUGUCCUUAGAGGCAGAAGCAGGACUCAGAGGAAGAGCACCCUGACCACAAAGCCCCAGGGUCCAGAAAGACUCAGCCACUGGAGUCUGUAUUUCCUGAGUCGCCUCUCACUGGUAAGUCCUGAGCCCCGUUCCUUCCCAGCACCCACUCUUGGAGCAGCUCUCCAGGGCUGUGCUGUGGCUGCUGCGGUCAGGGAGAGGUCGCAUGCUCCAGCCAGGGUCUUUGGGGACUCAGUUUAGAACUAAUACGCCAAGCAAGUCGUGCUGAGUGUCUGGGCUUCUUCUAGGAAGGUAUUUCCAAUCAUCAAAUGUGCCAUUAAAAAAAAUGCAUGUCAGUUAAGUGUGCACUAAGCCUGGACCACAUGGGACAUAGUGGUUCCAAUAAACACGAAUAAGCCAGUUUUCACAUUAGAGAAAUACCAGUUUCUUGCAGAAAUGCGGUGCUUUUAAAAGAGGUUAAUUAAUAAACAGCAGGUAAUUGUUCGUGGCACGUUGUGGCAGAGGGUAAUUUUCAUUUUAGAGGAUGGAAGGGCCAAAUACCCCUCCCCACUCAGCAUUUUUCUGUAAUAAUCACCUCAGCUUCACCUCCGCCUUUCAUUUUUACAGCUGGAGCUGUUUAUCAUCGCUCCAACUUUCACUAAAAAGGAAAAACUAUCACUUAAACAAAGCCAUUGAAACCCCAGCAUCAUGUGUGGAUUUUUUAACAUAAAUAAAUCAUACAAACUAA
ensembl:lncRNA PRDM16-DT PRDM16 divergent transcript